UAUAGGGUAUAAUGGUCUCCCCCAGUGAUCCUUUCUGGCAGUAUGAUUUUGACGAUGCUUAUUUUUACUCUGACAAUGAUGACAUGGACAUUGGUGGAUGUGGUGAUGACAUGGACAGUGGUUUCAGUGAUGAUGACAUGGAUAUCGGUGAUUGUGAUGAUGACAUGACCACUGGUGUAGACAUAGACUCAGAGUAUGAUAGCGAGGAGAAAGAGUUUUGGUUUGUAUUUCCACUUAUUGGAGAGAUGGUGGCAUAUUUCCAGCAGCAUUAUGACAAGCGCCCACAAUGUACUAGCAUUUUGAGUGGAAGCAAUUAUAUGGCUGAAGUGAAAGAUGGCAAUUCUAUCAAUUGUCAUGACAUGUUCUGCAUGACACUAGAUCUAUUCUAUCACUUGGUUCAUGAGUUGAAACAUUAUGGGUACUUGAAGGAAGGGAAGGGGCGUGUUGAUGUGUAGGAGUUAGUGGCCAUAUUUUUGUACAUUGUUGGCCAUAAUACUUAGAUGCGACCUAUGGUAGACAGAUUUCAGCAUUCCAUUGAAACUGUGGACCACAAGUUUUGUAGGGUGUUGCGGGCUGUCCACACAUAUGGCCAACAUUUAAUCAAGCCUGAUCCGACUGUGGUAGGCCUUUUAGAGCAUUUGUGGGGGAAUAAUAAGUACUACCCUUAGUUUGAGAGAAGCAUAAAAGCUAUCGACGGAACACAUAUUAGUGCUCGGCCUUCAGCAGAAAGACUCUGGUCUCACAAGAGUCGCAAGAGCACUGUUACAAUCAAUGUCAUGCGUGCAUGUGACCAUGACAUGCGGUUUACGUAUGUCCAUUUUGGUUGGGAGGGAAGUGUCAACGACUCAGGGGUGUUUGAAGAAGUUAUUAAAGUCCCGAAGCAUAGAUUCCUAUGGCCACCAGAAGGGUUCCUAUUACUUGGUUGAUUCGGGGCACCCCACUAGUGCAUUGUUUCUUCCACCACAUAAGGUCACUCGAUAUCAUGCCCAAGAAUUUAGGAGGAGUAGUAGGCAACUGAGAUCAGGGAAAGAGUUGUUAACUAUAGAAACUCUUUAUUGCGCAUGGUGAUUGAGAGGGCUUUUGGAGUCCUGAAGGCUCACCUUCCCAUCUUGAGUUGCAUGGCAAAAUAUAAGCAAUAUCGUCAGCGUUUGGUUGUUUUUGCGUGUUGUGCAUUACAUAAUUUUAUAUGCAUCAAUAAUCAAAGAGAUGUAAUGUUUAACACAUGGGAGAACCUUGACGUUGAUAGGGAUGAUAUACAAACUAAAAAAAAUGGGGACUCUCCUGAGUUGAGUGCAAGUGCUGAAAGGAGGCAUGUGAAGGAGAUGUCUGAUGCGGCGAAGAGAGUAAUGGAUGAGUUCAGGGAUGAUAUGAUUGACUGCAUAUGGGAGGAGUACAUGCGACGUCGAGGUUGACGGUUGGCAUGUCUAAGAAUUCAUGCUUUUUGUUAGGACUUUUGUAUAAAGCUAGUACCCAUUCCUAUGACUUUUUGUUGGGACUUUUGUAUAGGUCUAGGUACUGUGACUAGAAGUCACUUAGCAUGAUACAUGAUGCAUUCUUUUGGACAUUAUGAUGCAUUUUUUUGUAAAUUUAGAUUAACUGUGGACAUGUUUACAUGUAAUGGCUAAUGUCAAUAACCUAUUGACAUUUUUGAUGUAAUUCCUUUUGGCAAUUUUAAAGUAGGUGUAUCUAAUAUCUAUUGGUAAUGUAAGUACAAGUGGACAUGCUUAUAUGCAAUUGUAUGUAACACAUUUU